ACCAAACCUAGCCCGACCUACAAAAAAAUUAACUAUCAGAUACAGUAAAACAAAACAUUUACUUUCAAAAGUAUAGGUGAUAGAAAUUUACUUAAGAGCUAUAGAGAUAGUACCGCAAGGGAAAGAUGAAAGAAAAAACAAAGUACAAAACAGCAUAGAUUAACUCUAGUACCUUUUGCAUAAUGAAUUAGCUAGAAAACUUUGGCAAAAAGAAUUUAAGCCAAACUCCCCGAAACCAAACGAGCUACUUUCGAACAGCUAAUAUUAGAGCAAACUCGUCUAUGUGGCAAAAUAGUGAGAAGAUUCAAAAGUAGAGGUGAAAAGCCUAUCGAGUUUGGAGAUAGCUGGUUAUCCAAAUAAGAAUUUAAGUUCAACUUUAAGAUUUUCCUAAAACCCAUAAAAUUUUAAUGAAAACUUACAUGUUAACUUAAGGAGGGACAGCUCCUUAAAUAAGGAUACAUCCUUCAACAGAGGAUAAAAAAUAUAAAUACCACAGUAGGCCUAAAAGCAGCCAUCAAUUAAGAUAGCGUUCAAGCUCAACAAAAACUACCAAUAUAAUUCCUAAAAUAUAUAAUCACACCCUGUACAAACAAUUGGAUCAAUCUAUACUAAUAUAGAAGAAAUAAUGCUAAUAUUAGUAACAAGAAAUACUUCUCCUUGCACAAGCUUAAGUUAAAAAUUUUAACUAAUUAACAACUUUAUAAAAAAUUUACUAAACUAGUUAUUUAUUAUAAAUAUUGUUAAUCCAACUCAGGGGUGCAAUAAGGAAAGACUAAAAUAAGUAAAAGGAACUCGGCAAACAUAAACCCCGCCUGUUUACCAAAAACAUCACCUCUAGCAUUACAAGUAUUAGAGGCACUGCCUGCCCAGUGACAAAUAAGUUCAACGGCCGCGGUAUCCUGACCGUGCGAAGGUAGCAUAAUCACUUGUUCUUUAAAUAAGGACUAGUAUGAAAGGCUUGACGAGGGUUUAACUGUCUCUUACUUAUGGUCAGUGAAAUUGACAUCCCCGUGAAGAGGCGGGGAUAAAAUAAUAAGACGAGAAGACCCUAUGGAGCUUUAAUUUAUUAAUUCAUUUUAAUUAUAUAAAAUCAAUAAGAAUUAAAGAACAAAUUGUGAAUUAAUAAUUUUGGUUGGGGUGACCUCGGAGAACAACCUAACCUCCGAAUGAUAAUAGCCUAGACCCACAAGUCAAAGCUACCAUCAUAAAUUGACCCAGAGGCAAUCUGAUCAACGAACCAAGUUACCCUAGGGAUAACAGCGCAAUCCUAUUAAAGAGUUCAUAUCGACAAUAGGGUUUACGACCUCGAUGUUGGAUCAGGACCCCCAAAUGGUGCAGCCGCUAUUAAAGGUUCGUUUGUUCAACGAUUAAAGUCCUACGUGAUCUGAGUUCAGACCGGAGUAAUCCAGGUCGGUUUCUAUCUAUUAAUAAUUUCUCCCAGUACGAAAGGACAAGAGAAAUAAGGCCAAUAAAUUAAUCACGCCUUAGUAGCAAAAGAAUGAUAUUAUAUUAACUCUUUAGCUACUAAUAAAUAACACCACCCGAGACAAGGGU
rnacentral:rRNA from 1 species